GACUUCGUAGCUCAGCUGGUAGGGUAUUUGCCACGUUUAGGCAUGUUGUCUCAGUCGCUGGUUCGAGUUCGGCCGAAGUCC